AAAAUUUCAGAGCUUCCAAGACCACAAGCUUAAAAUAAGUAAAGAAGACAGUAAAAUUCUUAAAAAGGCUCAGAAAGAUGGAUUUUUGCAUGAGACGCUUCUGGACAGAAAGGAGCGAGUUGCAGACACAGUCAUUCUUGGAUUUGUUUCAACACCAGGCUUUCUUCCCUUUUGACCUGAACUGGGAGUUGAAUAUUUCCUCUCUUUGCCCUCUGACCCUCUAGUCUCUGAAACAUCUUUUGUACUAGAGGUAUGUGCAGAGACUUCCUGGAAAUUUGGAUUUGUAAAUUGUGCUGUUGUAUCUUCUAGGCACUGCAGUGAUCCAGAUAUAGAGCUGUUGCUCUUGCUUGUAUAAGUGUGACAUGUUGAUUCAAAAAAGGAAGUAAAAGGAAGAGAGUUGAUUACAUUUGGCUACUGACAUUAAUAAUAAUAAACAAUAAUUGUACUUGUAAUAUAAACAUCUGAAAGUUUUAGUUCUAAGAAUGGGUGUCCACAUAAGAAAAUUAUGUAAAAAUAAUUAAUGUCUAUUGUAAUUACUUUUCUUUAACCAAAGAAAAAGUAUAAUUUAAAGAUGGCUGUUUAAG
rnacentral:lncRNA from 1 species